GUGCAAGAAGACCCUGGCAGAAGUGCUGCUGGACAAAUCAAAUAUCAUCAAGAGGCAAACAAGCCAGAAUCUGGUGACUUCUCUGUAAGCCAGAGUUAUUUAAGGAGCUGGUAAAGAACCAGGUAAAUAUUAUCAGAGUGACUAAAGGCAGACAACAUCAUCUACACCGCUCAUCAUUAUCAUCCGUUCAGAAAAUCCCUCAUUGGAUUAUCAUUCCCUACAGCUCUGAAUUGGUCCUGUAAAAAAUGCAGAGAUAAAAGCUUUCAUCCAGGCUCUGAGUGGUCCCAGAUGGAAAUCUUAUGCUGGAACAGUUGCCUGGAUGCAUCUACCUGUACCAUAUUCCCAGACCCAGCUCUUUUGGCAAGAUGUGCAGGAACUGUAACAAGAGAUGUUCAUGUGAAGUGCAUUUCAUGACGGAGGCUUGUUUAUUGUUUUAUUCAAUGUUGUUCACUACCUUCAAAUCAAUCAGGUGGCUCAUCAAAAAACUCACAGGGAAUUAUGGAAUGGAUGAGUCAUUAACAUCAGGAAGCUGGAGCAAGAAAUGUUAAAGGAUAGAAAAUGGUUUUUACUCAUCAUGGAAAACAUCUGUCAUGAUAUAAACUGCAUAAUGAAAACCUCUUGCCAAUUUUCUUAUUAAUAAAUAUAGUAGACACAAUUAUUCUGGCUGCAUGUUCAGUCCUUUGGAGUCAGACUUUGAAGACAGCAUGUAGACAGCUUUAAAAAGCUCAGAAUCUAUCACAUCCUCUAAACUUGCCAAUGAUGCCAAGCACAUAUGUUGAUGAUGGCAGUACAAAAAAACCAACAACUGGUCUGUUCUGUAACAUGCUGUGGAAUGAUCAUGCCUUUACUGUCAAACAUACAAUAUAUAUUGUUCUAACUGAAUAGUUUGAAAGUGUAAGCUAGAACUUGAAAUGCUGGGUUAGGUAAGUGUUGUGACUUUGCUAAUUCUCAUUCUGAUCUGUAAAAUUUCUUGUAUCCCUCAAGUUUGUCAUAUCAGUUUAUCUAAUAAAUGGCAUGUUUUGUAUUGUAAUCAAGCAAUGAACAAUUGAGAGCCCUGACACACAGAAUCUACCUUAUAUAUUUAUAGUUGUGUACUUUUUAUCAGGAUUUAUCCCACUGUCCUUUCUGAAACAAAGCUAUAGUGGUUUGCAAUAUUAUUUUCUCCAGGGUGAACAGAAUAUGUAACAUUGUAAAUGUAAUUACAUGACCAAAAGAAUUACAGCACGGUAUAAGGAUGCA